rnacentral:rRNA from 1 species
GAUGAACGCUGGCGGCGUGCUUAACACAUGCAAGUCGAACGGGGAUGCUGACGGAAGGGGUGCUUGCACUCUGGAAGUAAGGAUCUUAGUGGCGGACGGGUGAGUAACGCGUGGGUAACCUGCCCCAUACCGGGGGAUACCACCUGGAAACAGGUGCUAAUACCGCAUAAGCGCACGGGAGCGCAUGCUCCUGUGUGAAAAACUCCGGUGGUAUGGGAUGGACCCGCGUCUGAUUAGCCAGUUGGCAGGGUAACGGCCUACCAAAGCGACGAUCAGUAGCCGGCCUGAGAGGGUGGACGGCCACAUUGGGACUGAGACACGGCCCAA